UACGAAGGGGGCUAGCGUUGUUCGGAAUUACUGGGCGUAAAGCGUGCGCAGGCGGCUGCUCAAGUCAGGGGUGAAAGCCCAGAGCUCAACUCUGGAAUUGCCUUUGAGACUGAGUGGCUUGAGUACGGGAGAGGUGAGUGGAAUUCCCAGUGUAGAGGUGAGAUUCGUAGAUAUUCGCAAGAACACCAGUGGCGAAGGCGGCUCACUGGCCCGGUACUGACGCUGAGGUGCGAAAGCAUGGGGAGCAAACAGG
rnacentral:rRNA from 1 species